rfam:Cavia porcellus supercont2_2 genomic scaffold, whole genome shotgun sequence.
CUGCAAAUAUUCUCGCUGUUCUGAUUGUGUCAUAAUCAGGGCAGGCUAAACAUUUGCUAUAGUAAGACCAUGCAUGUGUCCCCAGACCUUGAUCUUUCCCUAGGUCUGGUUUUAUAAAUGCUGCUGAUAAAU